GGUGAUAGAAGAAGAGUCCUUUAAUCGUGUGAACUACAUGCAGUCACCCUCAAUAGUCGGGAAGUACCCUUAAAUCGAUCUCAAACUUCAGCAAUUUUUGUCAUUUUUGAAAAGUUGCUGUGGAAAAUGGUAAUAGAAGAAGAGUUCUUUAAUGAUGUGAAUUGCAUUCAGUCACCCUCAAGGACCGAGAAGUGCCCUUAAAUCACUCUCAAACUUUAGCAAUUUUUGUCAUAUUUGAAAAGUUGCUUUGGAAAAUGGUGAUAGAAGAAGAGUUCUUUAAUGGUAUGAACUACAUGCAGUCACCCUCAAUAGUCGGGAAGUACCCUUAAAUCACUUUCAAACUUCAGCACUUUUUGUCCUUUUUUGAAAAGUUGCUGUGGAAAAUGGUGAUAGAGGAAGAGUUCUUUAAUGGUAUGAACUAUAUUCAGUCAUCGUCUAGGGUCGGGAAGUGCCCAUACAUCACUCUCAAAUUUCUCGCAAUUCGCACGUUUUCCUGACUCGAUUUUCAGUUGGGCGCCGUAGAAAUUUUGCCUAGUGCGCCAGUAGUACCAAAACAGGCGCUGCUUCUAUGCAUCCAUAGUAAAGAUCUAUACGCGCGAGGCUUGUAUGCAAACAAUUUUUUGUCGCGUUCAGCGAACAUAUCGCGUAAUACUGAUAGUGACCUCGUGUUGUCGCAGUUGGCUGUAUGCAUUUUGCUGCACACGCAGUUCAAUUCCGGACGUCGAGUGCGGUGCGCGUGUCCUGUUACUUCAGAUCAUAAUUAAGUAAAUUGAUUUAUAUUCAUUAAGCAAUCGACGGCAUAUACCAGAAUCGGGGGUGACCGGGGUUUUACAAGCGUGAUUGCAAGCUGUUGUGUUUAUCAAUCGUGGAUUAAUUCUCAGUUCACAUGUGCGCGCGUGUCCGUCGGCAUUCAGUUAUCGUCUCGCACAUAAGAAUAACUUGGAUGUAUAAUUAAUUCCAGCAAAUGCACAACUUUGAUGCCCAGACAAGAAGUUUGUGAAUGCACGAAUGAAGUUUGCAAUAUCUAUAUAUGAAGUGUUGGAGAUGCGAGUAUUUUAAGGCAAGUUUUUACUACUUUCGAAUUUGUUAGCUGUCGAUAUUUUUCUAUUUAAAGAAACGUAUCUAUUAUUAUUGUUGUCAAUAAAACACAAUGUAAAAUUAUAA